UAAUCAGGCAUAAGUAGGGGCAGCUCAGGGUCCUUCAAAGCCAUCAGCGAGAAAACAUUGCGCGGAGCUCAGAUCUACAUCUGAAGGACGGUCAGGAUGGUCCAGAAAAUUCUAAAAAAAAUCGUCGGUGCCAAGUACAUUACUAUCCUGAGGACGUGGGUGCCAAAUAUGGCCUUCUGGGGAUCAGCUGGCGGAGUGGCGCUCAUCUACUUCACAGACUGGCGCUUAUUUCUCGACCAUGUGCCGUACAUUAGAGGGAAAUUCAAGGAUGACUGAAGUCC